rnacentral:rRNA from 1 species
GGGAAUAUUGGUCAAUGGAUGCAAGUCUGAACCAGCCAUGCCGCGUGCAGGAAGACGGCCCUAUGGGUUGUAAACUGCUUUUGUCAGGGGAUAAAACAGCUCUGCGGAGCAAAUUGAAGGUACCUGGCGAAUAAGCCACGGCUAACUACGUGCCAGCAGCCGCGGUAAUACGUAGGUGGCAAGCGUUGUCCGGAUUUAUUGGGUUUAAAGGGUGCGUAGGCGGCCUUAUAAGUCAGUGCUGAAAUAUCCCGGCUUAACCGGGAGGGUGGCAUUGAUACUGUAGGGCUUGAGUAAAGUUGAGGUAGGCGGAAUUGACGGUGUAGCGGUGAAAUGCUUAGAUAUCGUCAAGAACACCGAUAGUGAAGACAGCUUACUAAACUUUAACUGACGCUGAGGCACGAAAGUGUGGGGAUCAAA